rnacentral:rRNA from 1 species
UAACGCGUGAGGAACCUGCCUUGGAGAGGGGGACAACAGUUGGAAACGACUGCUAAUACCGCAUAAGCCCACAGCUCGGCAUCGAGCAGAGGGAAAAGGAGUGAUCCGCUUUGAGAUGGCCUCGCGUCCGAUUAGCUAGUUGGUGAGGUAAUGGCCCACCAAGGCGACGAUCGGUAGCCGGACUGAGAGGUUGAACGGCCACAUUGGGACUGAGACACGGCCCAG